AGAAAAUUAGUUAAAAAAUAACAUUAGUUUGUCAGACUAAAAUUACUUAAAGUAUUUCCUA
rnacentral:tRNA from 1 species